UGGGGAAUAUUGGACAAUGGGCGAAAGCCUGAUCCAGCCAUGCCGCGUGAGUGAAGAAGGCCUUCGGGUUGUAAAGCUCUUUUAGCGGGGAAGAUAAUGACGGUACCCGCAGAAAAAGCACCGGCUAACUUCGUGCCAGCAGCCGCGGUAAUACGAAGGGUGCUAGCGUUGCUCGGAAUUACUGGGCGUAAAGCGUACGCAGGCGGGCUUUUAAGUCAGAUGUGAAAUCCCGGGGCUUAACCUCGGAACUGCAUUUGAAACUGGAAGCCUAGAGUAUGGGAGAGGAUAGCGGAAUUCCUAGUGUAGAGGUGAAAUUCGUAGAUAUUAGGAGGAACACCAGUGGCGAAGGCGGCUAUCUGGACCAUAACUGACGCUCAUGUACGAAAGCGUGGGGAGCAAA
rnacentral:rRNA from 1 species